ACCAAACAGCUAGCUUAACCCACCAAAACACAAGAUUACGAUUUAAAUAAUUUUACAAAAACUUAAAGGAAAAAAUAAAUCAUUUGACCACCCCAGUACGGGCGACAGAAAAGGAAUAAUUAAGCUAUAGACAAA
rnacentral:rRNA from 1 species